GGACAAUUAUAGAUAAGUGUGUACGAGUGCAGGCUAUACUAGAUUAGGCAGUACUAGUGGCAGCAUUGUUGUUGUCAAAAAUGACAGCUGACGUACGACUGCCAGUACAAAUGCCAGCAAAGGUGCCAGCAUCUAUUUUGUUUAAUAUUGAAAUUUUCAAGAUUUUGUCCAAAUUUUGUCCCCAAGAACAAAAUUCUCAAAGAAACUGGUCUAUCCUAGAACCAGUCCGUCUGGCGCGGAGUCCUCUACCUGCAGGAAAAUUCCAUAGCUGACCAUUGCGCUGCAUUUAUCGAGCUGUACACUGGUCUUGUUGGAUCACCUCAUUAUUGAUUCGGUGUUACACUGCUUGCCCGGGCGGUCGGUUCCAUGGCCGGGCUGAAAAUGAUCAAUCGACCUGCGAUUACUGAAAAGUUCCAACCUGAUUCGGAGUGCGAUAUGUUGAUGUUUGUCGUCAUGUGUUCCGUGGUCAGAUCCGCUGCUAAAAGCGUUCUUCAAGGCGCACCAGAUUAACCCGCUCGUGAUCGAACGAUUUCUAUCCGGAACAACCUCCGUUAGUGUCAUUGCGCAUCUACGACGAGCCGUUCCAGAGGCGGACCAUCCAAGACCAGUCUCGACCGCUGUUCAAGACAGCUCAGCCGCCACCCAUCACGUUGCACGAUUUGGUCGAGCUAACGUGGAUUCAAAUCACAGGAUGAGAAGGGGUAGCUUUCUUUAGAUUAUUAUAAAUAACAUACAUAAUGUUAUGCAUUCAUCAAUGCGAUGCAUCGUAGUGGAACUUUUGAAAUUUAAGUGUUCACGCACAUAUUGCUUUGUUAUUGUUUCUAUGUUUUCAAAGAGGGUGACGAAGGGUAUUAUCGGCAGGUUUAUUGUCUUCGUCAUGUGGGGGUUUUGCCGGCCAAAUUUCCGAAAACUUGGUCGUACAAUUCAGCUUGGUAUAGAGUAGGAUUUGAGGCCAACUCCGAGUUCAACAGCUUUCAAAAUACUCCCCAUGACGAAGAGAACAAAUCUGCCGAAAAUACACAAUUUCCCCUAGAACUUAUACAAAAUUUGAAAACGAACCAGUAUCAUUUAGCAAUUCUUCAUUAUAGAUUAACAUUUAUGUAUCU